GAUGAACGCUGGCGGCGUGCCUAAUACAUGCAAGUCGAGCGAACAGACGAGGAGCUUGCUCCUCUGACGUUAGCGGCGGACGGGUGAUUAACACGUGGAUAACCUACCUAUAAGACUGGGAUAACUUUGGGAAACCGGAGCUAAUACCGGAUAAUAUAUUGAACCGCAUGGUUCAAUAGUGAAAUACGGUUUUUCUUUCACUUAUAGAUUGAUCCGCGCCGCAUUAGCUAGUUGGUAAGGUAACGGCUUACCAAGGCAACGAUGCGUAGCCGACCUGAGAGGGUGGUCGGCCACACGGGAAGUGAGACACGGUCCAGACUCCUACGGGAGGAAGCAGUAGGGAAUCUUCCGCAAUGGGCGAAAGCGGGACGGAGUAACGCCGCGUGAGUGAUGAAGGUCUUCGGAUCGUAAAACUCUGUUAUUAGGGAAGAACAAAUGUGUAAGUAACUAUGCACGUAUUGACGGUACCUAAUCAGAAAGCCACGGCUAACUACGUG
rnacentral:rRNA from 1 species